UGAAAUUAUAGUCUUGUCAUGGCUGCUAAUCGGCAUGCAAAUCCUAGGGUUACACCACGUAAUUUUGUUCAAAAUUUGGCGUUUGUUGAUACAGGGACCCAGUGAUAUUUAUGAAAGCUGCCCAAGCUGUGUGCCAGAUUGAGAUGGUUGGAGAUAGACUGUAUGUUGUUCUAUUGAAGGACCGUGAGAAGGAAAAGAGCAACGAAAAAGAGAAGGAUAAGUUGGUUGAUAAGGAUAAAUCAUCAGGUAUUGCCACAAAGAUGACAGUAGGGGACAUGAUUAUGGCAUCUCCUGUAAGUGCCAAAGGGAAACAAUCUGAUUUGAGCGGAAGGAGUAUGAAAUCUCAUCGCAAGCCACCACAAACCUUUGUCACUGUUAUUGAGCAUCUAUUAGAUCUAGUAUAGUAAUGUCUUGUCCCACCACCAAGAGCUGAGGACCAAUCUGAUGGUUCGUCAUCCAUGGACAUGGAUAUUGACUCUAGUUCAUCAAAAGGUAAAGGGAAGGCUGUUGCUGUCACACAUGAAGAGUCCAAGCAAGCCAUCCAUGAUGCUACUGAAUCUCUGGCUAAAAACGCAUUUGUCCUAAAGCUGCUCACAGAUACUACUAACGUAUGCUACAUCCGUUCAAGUUGUUCUUUGCCACAAUGCUGAGUUGAGCAGCACGCAGGGUCCUACCUGGACCACUUACAGUUUUAGCAGUGGCCAAAUAUUUAAUCAUAUAUUACAGCAUUUCCUUCCACAUGCUACAAAACAAAAGAAAGAAAGAAAGCCUGAUGUUGAUUGGAGGUACAAAUUAGCAACAAGGGGUAAUCAAUUUUUAGUGGCUUCAUCUAUUCGUUCCCCAGAAGGCGAAAAAGGAUCUGUUCUGAAAUCUGCAGUAUAUUUGUUGAGUUCACAGACAAUUCUACUGGUUGCAAACCUCCAAUGUUGAGGAUGAAUGUUUAUGUUGAUUUGCUCAAUGAUAUUCUGUCAGCCUGCUCGCCAACGGGCUCCUCACUUUCAGCAGAAUCUGUAGUUACAUUUGUUGAGGUUGGCCUUGUCCAGUGUCUACGAAAACCCUUCAAGUUCUUGAUUUGGAUCGUCCUGAUUCAGCAAAGAUUGUAACUGGUAUUAUCAAGGCUCUUGAAGUGGUUACUAAGGAGCACGUUCAUUUAGCAGAUUUUAAUGCUAAAGGGUUUUUGGAGCAAAACAAUGUAGAUUCAUCAUCAGAUAGAUUCCAGGUUCUUGACACAACUUCUCAACCAACUGCAAUGGUAACUGAUCAUAGGGAAACUUUCAACUUCAAAAAGUUCAGAUUCAGUGGCAGAGGCGAUGACCGUGAUAUAGAUGGAGGUUUUUCCCAUGAUGGUGAAGAUGAUUGUAUGCAUGAGAUUGCUGAAGACAGAACUGGAAAUAAGUCCACAAUGAAUAUUCGGUUUGAUAUUCCACGCAAUAGAGAGGAUGAUAUGGCUGAAGAUGAACAUGACAGUGAUCAAGAUAUGCAAGCAGAUGAUGGUUGAGGAGGUUGAUGAAGAUGAUGAUGAGGAGGAAAAUAACAACGUGGAGGAAGAUGAUGUCCAUCAGAUAUCUCAUGCUGACAUGGAUCAGGAUGACCGUGAGAUUGAUGAAGAUCUGCUAGAAGAAGAUGAUGAUGACUACGAGGAUGAGGAGGGAGUAAUCCUCCUCUUAUAGGAGGGGAUCAAUGGAAUUAAUGUGUUUGACCAUGUUGAGGUUUUUGGGGGGAGCAACAAUGUUUCUGGGGAUACACUACUGUGUAAUGCCACUGGACAUUUUUGGCACAAGCGGCAAGGCCGUAUUACAUCUAUAUACACUCUUCUUGGGAGAGCAAGCGACCAAGGUGUACUUGACCAUCCACUCUUGGAGGAACCUUCGAUGUUACUUACACAACAGAGGCAACCAGAAAAUUUAGUUGAGAUGGCUUUCUCUGAUCGGACUCAUGAAAAUAGUUCCUCCCAUUUGGACGCUAUAUUCAGAGGCUUGCGAAGUGGAUGGAAUGGACACCGAUUUAAUGUGUGGCUGGAUGAUGGCCCCCGACGCAUUGGAUCUGCCGCCCCUGCAGUACCUGAAGGCAUUGAAUAACUUCUGCUCUCUCAGUUGAAAAGGCCUAUGACUGAACAUCCUGAUGAGCAGAGCACGCUUGCUGUUGGUGCUCAAGUAAACGAUCCUCCCAGUAAUUUGCACGGACCAGACAUGAAACUGAUGCAAGGGAAGGACUAGCAGAACAAAAUGAAAACAAUGAAAAUGAUGAUAUUCCUGCAGUAAGGUCUGAGGUGGAUGGCUCUUGCAAGUGCUGGUCCUGCACCUCCUCAUGGUGAUGAACUUCAAAGAGAUGCAUCCAAUGCAAGUGAUCAUGUCGCAGAUAUGCAAUAUGAAUGUAGUGCCGCUGCUGUCUGUGAUGUGGAAGCAGUAAGUCAAGCAAGCAGUGGUAGUGGUGCUACUAGGGGAAAGCCUCAAAAGUUUAUAUGUGGAAAUUGAAAGAAGCAUGAUGAUGGUGACCGACAUGGGGCUUCAGACAGGGCACCUUUGGGUGAUGUACAAGCAGCUACUCGAUCAUGGAGGGCUUCUGGAAAAGCAGUACCAGUAGCAGGGACAUAUCAUUGGAGAGUGUUAGGGAGAUCCCCCAAAACACAAUCCAGGAAUCUGAUCAGAAUGCCAGUGAGGGGAAUCAGGAGCCUAUAAGGGCUACUGGCACCGACUCAAUUGAUCCUACAUUUUUGGAGGCUCUUCCAGAGGAUUUACGGGCUGAAGUUCUUUCUUCGCGUCAAAAUCAAGUGACUCAGACUUCCCAACGGUUGCAACAACAGUCUCAAGAGUUUGAAGGGCAACCAGUUGAAAUGGACGAUUUAUCAAUUUGCAACCUUCCCUUUAGAAAUACGGGAGGGAGGUGCUUUUGACGUCUCCCGAUACCCUACUAGCUACAUUGACACCUGCACUAGUUGCUGAAGCCAACAUGUUGCGGGAGAGAUUUGCUCAUCGAUAUCAUAGUGGAACUCCAAGAACCGGAGAGGAGAGUCCUCUCGUCGUGGUGAUAUCACUGGUUCAGGCCUUGAUAGAAACACUGGUGAUUCCUCCCGUCAAAUGGCCAGCAAGCUAAUUGAAACUGUAGGGACUCCUCUUGUUGACAAGGAUGCUCUCAAUGCUCUUAUUCAAUUACUUCGAAUUAUUCAGCCUAUUUACAAGGGCCAGCUGGAGAGGCUUCUCUUGAACCUUUGUGAUCACCUGGAAAGCAGAAAGUUGCUGGUUCAAAUUCUGGUGGACAUGCUUAUGCUUGAUCUGCAGGGAUCUUCUAAGAAAUCAAUGGAUGCAACUGAGCCAUCAUUUAGGCUGUAUGGGUGCCAUGCAAAUAUCACAUAUUCACGCCCUCAAUCCUCAGAUGGUGAUUCUCAUGAGCUCGCAUUGAGAGAGAGAUUUCAAGUGUCCAUAAGAGGAUAACAUUAAGUGUUGAUGAUCAUGGUUGACAAGGGCAAGUUCAAGAUAACCAUCCCGAAGGAUUACAUGCUUGAAGCUUGUGGAUGAUCACAUGAUGGACACGUGAAGAUGAAUAGAAAGCAAACCUUCCCACAUUGUGUAUGAGGGAUCUAUUUGAAGCCUUCACCAAGUGUCAUGAUCAAGAUCAUCUUUCUGACUUGAGCCAAGCAUAAACGUCAACAUCAAGCUCAAUUGGAAUGCUGUAGUCAAAGGUAUUGGUUCCUUUGGCUUUAGUUGUGAGGAUCGAUGACCAUCGAAAAGGAUAUAUGCUCAAGAAUGAG